AUGAAGGAGAAAUAGGACUGGGUGCAGGAGCAUAGCUAAAGUCUCAUGGGCCCUGGUCCAAGAGUUCAGCUUGGGCCCCCUUUCCCUCAGUGCUUUGUGGCCAGGGCAGGGAAGCACAUAACCUUCGUGCUGCCUGAGGCAUAAAAAAAUUGA